rnacentral:rRNA from 1 species
AACGAACGCUGGCGGCAUGCCUAACACAUGCAAGUCGAACGGGACCUUCGGGUCUAGUGGCGCACGGGUGCGUAACGCGUGGGGAUCUGCCCUUAGGUACGGAAUAACUCAGGGAAACUUGAGCUAAUACCGUAUAAUGACUUCGGUCCAAAGAUUUAUCGCCUAGGGAUGAACCCGCGUAGGAUUAGCUUGUUGGUGAAGGUAAAGGCUCACCAAGGCGACGAUCCUUAGCUGGUCUGAGAGGAUGAUCAGCCACACUGGGACUGAGACACGGCCCAGACUCCUACGGGAGGCAGCAGUGGGGAAUAUUGGACAAUGGGCGAAAGCCUGAUCCAGCAAUGCCGCGUGAGUGAUGAAGGCCUUAGGGUUAGUAAAGCUUCCUUUUACCCGGGUAUGAUAAUGACAGUACCGGGAGAAU